UGCAUCAACGACAUCUUGCACAAGAAAGGCACGCGAGUGUCGUUCAGUUUUGAGUUCGCUGGAAAAUCAUACUGAGACUGUGAAUACACCACUCUUGCCUUCACCUGCAUCUCACACAGGAAGGGAACGCUCCUUCAGUUUUCAUCUCCAUUCAGAAUCUUAUAGGAUGUGAGAAUAACAGUG